GUUCAAUGGUAGAACCACAGAUUUCCAAUCUGUUGAUGAGGGUUCGAUUCCCUCUACCCGCU
rnacentral:tRNA from 1 species